UGGGCUGUAGCUCAGUGAUAGAGCACUUGCCUGGCAUCCGUGAAGUCCUAGGUUCAAAUUCCCAGUAGCACAA
rnacentral:tRNA from 1 species